rnacentral:rRNA from 1 species
AGAGGCACCUGACGCAGCAAUGCCGCGUGAGUGAAGAAGGUUUUCGGAUCGUAAAGCUCUGUUAUUGGGGAAGAAAUGAGACACGUGACCCAAAUACGAAGUCCCGGCUAACUCCCUGCCAACAGCCGCGGUAAUACUUAGGGGACACGCGUUGUCCGGAUUUACUGGGCGUAAAGGGCACCCAAGCGCUUUUUUAUAUCACAUGUGAAAGGUACCGGCUCAACCGGAGACGUGCUUUUGAAACUGAAACAGUUGACUGUUGUAGAGGCUGGUGGAAUUCCUAAUGUAGCAGUGAAAUGCAUAUAUAUUAGGAGGAACACCGGUGGCAAAGGCGGCUUGCUGGACAAAUACUGACGCUGAGGUGCGAAAGCGUGCGGAGCAAACAGGAUUAGAUACCCUGGUAGUCCACGCCGUAAACGAUCAGUGCUACGUGUUGGGGAGACACAUUGCCUCAGCUUACGCAAUAAUCACUCCUCCUGGGGAGUACCACCGCCAGGUUG